UCUACCAUCUUGCACUAACAGUGCGCAUGAUGCAGCAGGGUCGGCAUCCUUCCAUGGGAAGCAGGAAGGGUAGCUGGAGCCGGAAAAGGACAUCGAUCGAAGACUGCAUUGUUGGGUCAUGUGUUGCUUUCCGGACAAAAUCUCCUUUUGGAUUCAUGAGUUGAUGACAGCUUAGCCACAUUGAAUCGUCAGAUGGAUAUAAUACAAGAUCUUUCAUUUAGGUUACUGCACUCACCGUGCAUGAACACGAAGCCCACACGCCUCUGCUUCAGUGAGAAUAUAGUACUGCAGUAAUCAUCAGUAUGUGUGGCCUACGCAUGAUGGAGGUUUGCAGGGCCGCAAGAGCGCGAGAGAACGACGCUGAGGGCUGCGCUUCCAUGGCCAACACGCGUCGAUGCCUUCGACUGUACGAUUCCAUUUGGCAGCGCUCCUCCAUGUGACGUCUCGAAUGGCUUCUCGUUCCCUGUUGCUUCUCUCACGAGGCCUGUGGACAACAGUACGCUCUUGUGACCCAUUCAUGCCGUGCUCGCUGUACACGGAGCUGCCGAGGGUCGAUUGUGUGAUGGAACUGUGCCUGUGAACCCUGCGCAUCUACCUGAGGCUAACGAAGGGAUGAGAUGGCGGAUUGUUUGAUGGACCUGUGCCUGUGAACCCUGCGCAUCUACCCGAGGCUAGCGAAGGGAUGAGAGAGAGGGGGAGAAGACAAAGGCAUCCCAUCAAGACAGUCCUUUCAUCUCAUGGAGCGGUAGAUGGUGAAGGCUGCCGUGUAAUGUAUAGCUCAAGAACACAAGCUGCCAAGGAUCAUGUGAGGUGAGAAGAGAGAGAGAGAGAGAGAGAGAGGAAUGCGUUUCACAUGCAACAAAACCAAAAACUCAUCUACCUUCGACAACCAGAAUAAGAAUGACAACGAGGGUGCAUGAUCUCUACUCCAACCGCUGGGUUCCAUCCUUGUUCUAACAUCAUCAACAAAGCUUGAAGCAGCUAGAAACGGGGAUUUGGAUCCCAUCCAGCUUACGUUUCACGCUGGUCUCCAUCUGAUGCUGGAGUUCGACCCUAAAUGUGGGUCCCACAUCAACGGAGGGUUCCGAUGCGGGGAGUCUGUGGAUCGAGACUCGUGGCUUCUGGAGAGGAACCGCUUCGAUUCGGCGACGGUAUAUCUCCAGCAGCGGUCGGGCCGGCGGCCGACGCGACGGUGAGUGGCCGUUCGGCUGCCGGCAGCAAGGCGGAGGUCGGUGGCGGUAGCGUGUAGAGACCACUGGUGCGAGGCAUCUCUGGCCCUCGGAAGACGCCCGAAACCACGAAACGGGCCGCCGCCUCUUCUCCGAUUCCAUGAGCCCAGUCCCGCUUCAAGGGACUGCAUAUGUUUCUCAUUAGCACCAACAUCCGUUUGAUGUGAAAUACAGAAAAGAACCAAACAAACUGUUGAUAUGCAAAUGCAGCAAUAUUUGUAGAGAGAAGGAAAUUUUACCAAUGGAGUUCUUCCUUUGGAGUCACCAAUAUCAGGAUCCAUUCCUGCUUUGAGGAGUUUGUCAAGGAAGCAACUAUUUCCUGUAGCAGCUACUGUGAGUAGAUUGCACGAACUUCUUUCAGGGUGCUCUGCUUGAACUUUAACAGCUGAGACAAUGUUCUGGUGCGGAAUAUAAAGCUUUGAGGCCUUUCGCUGAGUGCAGUAAAUUCUCCAAAUAUAUCUCCUGUGCUAAACUUCCCUACAACUUGUUCCAUCUCAUUAUCAGAAUAUAUGAUUUCAACUUCACCUGAUACAACAAUGUAUACAUCUUCUGGGGCUUCAUUUUGCAUGAUGACAUCCUCUCUGGGUGGAAUGUACUCGACUUUCAUCUUAGUUACCUGAUCCAGAAAUCACAAAGAAUGUGAGUCAAAUAUUCACGUAGUGCAUUUUCUCUGGUGCUGGUGGACAUAGAGUUGAAUUUGAACCAGAGAUUGCUAAGUUUACCAACAGUAAGAGUGUUUCCCUCGAGACACCUUUAAAGAGGUAAGCCUCCUUGACAGUCGGCAGGAAGAGAUGCUGACAGAUGCUUUUGCAUAGUGCUUUUGGUAAUUGGUCCAUCAGAUGUUGUUGGUUUAAGGUCUCUGCUUUAAAUCUAAGACACAUAUAAGCCAAUAUCUGUUCUUUCAGAUGUGGUGGUAAGUGGUUUCUGCAUACAAAGUUAGAUGCAACUUGUAUGCUAUUCCUCUGCAAUAAAUUCCAGACACAAAUGAGUUUAAAGUUGUAAAGCUAUUACGUGUUUUAUGAUCUUAUAAUUUGCAUCAAUCAGGAGUUUAUGUAUGAAAAGACUGAUGCAACUAUACAAAAGAAAAAAAAGGAUUGGUGAAUCCUUACGAAUUCCAUUGUGCGUCGUGUUCCUUCAACAACCAGAUUGGUCAUAUUUCCAAUCAAGUAUGCAGUGAGGCCUAGGUUACAGAGCAUAUAGAAAAUAUUAAAGAUCAUUUCUCUUGUGUUCACAGCAUGAAGAUCGCCAUAACCAACUGUUGUCAUUGUGGAUAUAGACCAGUAGAUGGAGGCUAUGUAACGCAUCCACAAGUUAGCUUCCCUGAAGUUUGGCACUGCAGCACCAAUCCAAGUCUUCCCUUGAUGUGGAUACCGAUCAGCCAGCAAGUAGUAGAGGCAUCCAGCACAGUGGACUAAGAAAAAGCAUACCUGUAAUCAGAAUUCAAGUUAGUGAUGUUGAUGAUUGAUGACUGGAGACAAGUUCAUGGUACAUCAUGAGCUGGCAUAUCACAUGUAUCAGUUUGAUUUUAGCAUAAGGUUGUACAAGAGCAACCCCCAUGUCAUAAAAUGACAGAAUGGAAGACAGUGGUAGAGGCAUUGCAGGAUCCUUAUGGUCGCAAAUUUUGUACAUUUUUUUACAACCACAAGUCGAUAAGUUUUUCUACCAUUAUUGGUGGGGUCAGUCUGUGGGCUGGGAUACCUCAGUCGGUGCUACAAGAAUAAGCUGAAAUCAAAGAAUGAACAAAUUGACAGCACUAGAUGUGGUAGUUAUCUCAAGUACUGGUGAAGCAAGCUUAACAAGACAAUCAGUUUGUGAUGGCCAGGUAACAAUCUGGUGGGCCCCUCAUGUUGGUGAUAGAAUAACAUCUGACAAUAUCUUGUUUUCUUUUUUCCUUUCAUGAGAUCUAUAAAAACUUGAAAGCUUGAAGUAUAUUUGUGCAAGAGUUGGUGCUGAUCGUGCAUCGCUACAGUGAUUAAGCCGAAAUCAAGAAUUGAACAAAAUGACAGCACUACAUGUGGUAGGGUGGUGGUUAUCUCAAGUUCUAGUGAAAGCAAGCUUACCAAGACAACCUGCUUGUCAUGGUCAGGUAUUAGCAUUCCUUUCUACUUAACCGACCUUCUAGAUUUGAUGAACUACAGCCAACUUGAAACCGUACUCCACAACAAGGAGCUACAGCAGCACUCUUAUCAUUUUUUAUACAAUUCUCUAGAAUCUACUCAAGUCUUGAUUUGCUACUUGAUGUGUUGAUACCCUGGUGGGCUCCUCAUGUUGGUGAUAGAAUAAAAAGUCUAACAAUAUCUUAUUUUUUUUCACUUUUCCUUUCAUGAGAGCUAAAUCUGCAGUGUUAUCUCAAGCUUACCAAAAUGACAGCACUAGUUGUGGUGGUUAUCUCAAGCUUACCAAGAAAACCUGCUUGUGAUGGCCAGGUAUCAGCCAAUAAUACACUAUGGUGGCCCCCUUAUGUUGGUGACACAAUGAAAAGUGUAGGUGCCCUUCUCUUGUGAACCCAAGUGGUUGGUAGAGUUAGUGUAGCAAUUAGCAUGCAAACAAAAAAAAGAAAAAUCAUGGCUUUCCUGAGCCUGAGGGAGUGGAGUCCAAGCAAUCUGAGUGGAACCUGCGUGAUUCUGACAGCGCCAAGAUGAAACGAGUCCUCCAGAAGAAGCCCACGCAGCUCAGGUUUUGAUGAAGUAGGUGCUACAAGACUGCCACCAGAACCCAUUUGUUUUCCUGGGUACCCCCUUCUACUAUUUUUCUUGUGGUCACAAUGAAAAGUCCGCAACCCGGAAGAAUGAUUUUUCUCGUAGUUGCCUUCAAAUCAAGAGUUCGAGAACCUAUGUGACAGAUUGCCUGAGGUUUGUUUGCUUGUUCGAGACAAAGCACAGAGACACUCACACUAAGCCUGUUAAGGUCUCAAAUUCCGUACCUAGUCAUGGGAACUCUCUUUUUAUUUCUGUGAUGAGCAAAGGUGUAAGAGGGCAUAGAUGAGUGGGCGAAGAACAGACCUGGUGGCAAUCUUCCUGGGGUCACAAACAAGAACCUGCGUCCUGGAAUCGAUGUAAGCCACGAAGAACGUGAGAACGAUGUCGGCCGCGAAGAAGGCGUCGAUGACGUUGUCGGUGAGGAACAGCCCACCCUUCGGCGCAGCGUGCAUGAACGCGAUCUCGAACGGAUACACCCAUGCAGAGUACGCUACCAGCGCCACCAUGAACGCUUCCCAGCACCUGCAAGACAACAUCUUGGAGCUUUCGUUCGUCAGCGAAAGAGAGAAUUCGUCGCCAUGGAGCUCUGCGCGUAGUUCUAACCUGUAUCUCGAGUCCAUGGGCAAGAAGAUUCUCCAUCGCGAGCCGUUCGGGUUCUGGCUGCAGCUUGACAUGCCGAGGGGAGGAAGAACGAGCUUGGAGAGGCUGCUGAGGCUAAGGGACUCGGAGCUGCUCUCAUCGCCGUGCUUCCUGCAGCCGUUCGUCAUGGAGUUGUGAGCCUUCAUGGCCGUACCGGAGUCUUGGCACGGGCUGCCUGCCAUAUUUUUGUUGUCAUGAAAGCAUCAGGAGGAGAGAAGCAGGAUCGAGUCACACAAGCCUGGCACAAAUAAUGGAGGGCGAAGGAUGACGACAAUGUUGUGGUUCUGGCACAGAUGAACCAUCUGAGUGCAUUUUUCGGUGAUGGUGGGAUAAUUCCCGGGCCACUCGUAGCUGGGUGGCCAGCCUCUUUUUGUCUUGCAUUCUUCUCUCAUUCAGGGGGGUGAUAUAUCUGCAUCAUUACAUAAUGUUUUCUGAAUGUAACUCUCACAUUCAAUUUGGCCGACGUACCCAACUCUAUCUCCUCUUCUUUAUUGCCUAAAAUUAUGUACCUGCGUCGAUCAUUGGACAAUCAAAUGGCAAAUCAAUUUUUGA